UUUAUUUGGAUGCAACGCGAAGAACCUUACUUAUCUUGACAUCCAGAGAACUUUACCAGAGAUGGUAUUGGUGCCUUCGGAACUCUGAGACAGGUGCUUGCAUGGCGUCGUCAGCUCGUGUUGUGAAAUGUUGGGUUAAGUCCCGCAACGAGCGCAACCCUUAUCCUUUGUUGCCAGCGGUCCGGCCGGGAACUCAAAGGAGACUGCCAGUGAUAAACUGGAGGAAGGUGGGGAUGACGUCAAGUCAUCAUGGCCCUUACGAGUAGGGCUACACACGUGCUACAAUGGCGCAUACAAAGAGAAGCGACCUCGCGAGAGCAAGCGGACCUCAUAAAAUGCGUCGUAGUCCGGAUUGGAGUCUGCAACUCGACUCCAUGAAGUCGGAAUCGCUAGUAAUCGUAGAUCAGAAUGCUACGGUGAAUACGUUCCCGGGCCUUGUACACACCGCCCGUCACACCAUGGGAGUGGGUUGCAAAAGAAGUAGGUAGUCUUAACUUUCGGGAGGCCGCGUAGCACUAAUGUC
rnacentral:rRNA from 1 species